rnacentral:misc_RNA from 1 species
GGAGGAGGAGGAUCAACUGUGUCACCAAGUUCAUGGGUAUCACCAACAUCAGUCUCAACAUCUGGAAAGAGAAUUCAAAGGGAAAUGGAGGAACUUAACAAUGAUCCACCUCCUGAUUGCUCAGCUGGCCCCAAGGGUGACAAUCUUUACCACUGGGUCUCCACCAUUAUUGGCGCCCCAGGAACACCAUACGCAGGUGGUGUAUUUUUUCUUGACAUAACAUUUCCAAGUGGUUAUCCAUUCAAGCCUCCAAAGGUAGUGUUCAAAACUCGUAUAUAUCAUUGUAACGUUGAUUCUGCCGGC